UGUCAGUUAGCAUCGCUUCCGGUUAGCUCAGAGGCUAAGUUGUUAGCAUAUUGUAAUAAAAACAGGUGAAAAGUUGUGUGUCUGUGACUGUCAUGUGAAGUGUCAGUUUGUAACAUGACUCAGAGCGUCACAGGCGGAAGGUCACGGAGCAGCAGGACGGAACGGAAGCGGGAGGAGAAAAAAAAAGCCUAUCCGCCAUUGUGGAAUAUAGUAAGAGGGGAUAUUCCAGUGAGGUACCAGUCAGUUUUAGGUUGACUAAUAAAUAUCAUUUGAGGUUGGAAUCGACUCGCCGAUUGACGCCGGUCUUUCUUUGCGGGACACGAAGCCGCCCMGUCGGAAGCCAGCAGAAGAGAGAGGCAGGUCGUCGUUCGGGGUCUGAGCAGCACGGCAGGAGAAACGCCGCCUUGUAACGUUUCGACUGAUUGGACGGAGCCAGGGGGGAAAAAAAAAAGCACCGAAGUGCAGAAACACAAGACACAGGCAGGAGGGGUGAAGCCGUGGACAGUCUCACAAACAGCGAUUUGUUUUCGGUUCCCGGAGGAUGUCUGCGACCACAGUUGAUCAGAGACCUAAAGGACAAGGAGGAAAUAAAGUGCAAAACGGAUCAAUGCAUCAAAAAGAUGGUGUGAACGAUGAUGACUUUGAACCUUAUCUAAGCGGCCAGACAAAUCAGAAUAACAGCUAUCCACCAAUGUCUGAUCCCUACAUGCCAAGUUAUUAUGCUCCAUCCAUUGGCUUUCCUUAUUCUCUGGGAGAGGCUGCUUGGUCCACAGCAGGAGACCCACCAAUGCCCUACCUUACUACCUAUGGACAGAUGAGCAAUGGUGAGCCGCACUUUAUCCCUGACGGGGUUUUCGGCCAGCCAGGUGCCCUGGGAAACACCCCUCCUUUCCUGGGCCAGCAUGGCUUUAAUUUCUUUCCCGGCAGUGCRGACUUUUCAACCUGGGGUACCAGCGUCUCUCAGGGCCAGUCGACGCAGAGCUCAGUCUACAGUAACAGCUACAGCUACGCUCCUAGCUCGCUGGGUAGGGCUAUCACGGACGGACAGGCGGGCUUUGGAAGCGACACCCAGCUCAGUAAGGUUCCAAUGCUGAGCAGCAUUGAGCAGGGCAUGGCAGGGCUAAAACUGGGUACGGACAUGGUGGCAGCUGUCACCAAAACCGUGGGCUCCCCUUUAGGAGGCACAACAGGUAUGAGCAGUACGGCAGCCAAUAAUCUUCCCCCGCCCAUCAACUCGUCUGUGCCRAAACCUGCCACCUGGGCAGCCAUCGCCAAGAAGCCGGCUAAACUCCAGCCRAAGGUCAAACCCAAAGCCAACAUGGGGAUGGGGGGGCCUGCCACCAUUCCCCCACCCCCAAUAAAGCACAACAUGAACAUUGGUACAUGGGACGAUAAGGGCUCCUUAAACAAACCUCCACUGGCUCAGACUAUGAUACCCCCACAACCUCUGAUGCAGCAGCCUCUCUUAGCUCAACCCCAACCCUUAUUGCAGAACCCCCUACCUCCCCAGCCCCCACACCAGCCCCAGCAUCAACACCAGGCCUUUCAGCUGCAGUCUCUCCACUCCCCUCAGCACCCCCAGCCUCUGCCGCCUGGCCCUCCACACUUACACCUCACCUCCCAACCUGGCCUCCCACAGCCCCUCCAUCAGCAACAACCCCAGCAUCCGGGACCUCCCCCAAAUCGUUGGAUUGCUCCCAGGAACCGGGGCGAGGCCUUUGGUCUUGGUGGCGGAGUCCCGCUGAGUGCCUCCCCCUGUUCUGGAGAAGUGCACCCUGUGCUGGAGAAACUCCGAGCCCUCAACAAYUACAACCCCAAAGACUUUGACUGGAACUUGAAAAAUGGACGCGUCUUCAUUAUCAAGAGCUACUCAGAAGACGACAUCCACCGCUCAAUCAAGUACUCUAUCUGGUGCAGUACAGAGCACGGCAACAAGCGCCUGGACAGUGCUUACCGUUCAUUAGGCAACAAGGGGCCCUUGUACCUGUUGUUCAGCGUCAACGGCAGCGGGCACUUCUGCGGCGUGGCCGAGAUGCGCUCACCCGUGGACUACAAUGCCUACGCUGGCGUCUGGUCUCAGGACAAAUGGAAGGGCAAGUUUGAAGUGAAGUGGGCUUUCAUCAAAGACGUGCCCAACAACCAGCUGCGUCACAUCCGGCUGGAGAACAAUGACAACAAGCCAGUGACCAACUCCAGGGACACUCAGGAAGUGCCCCUGGAGAAGGCCAAGCAAGUGCUWAAAGUUAUCGCCACUUACAAGCAUACCACCUCAAUAUUUGAUGACUUUGCACAUUAUGAGAAACGUCAGGAAGAAGAGGAGGCUCUGAGGAAGGAGUGUUUGUGUCAUCCUCAGGUUUUCUUUAGUGUGUCUACCUCCUUUUUAUCUGAGUGAGACAACAACAAGCCAAAGGUAGUGUCUGCAGUCUCAUGACGGUGUCGACAAAGCUGAUUAUUUGGAGCGCAGCAGAAAUAAACAGUAGCCUUCAAGCAAGCUCCCCCCGCUCAAACAGCAACACUAACAAUGAAGGCCCUUAAAUCAAAUUGGCCCAACCACACAGAGGAGAGGCUCUCAACCUUUCCUCUGCCGACGACGACGUGUCUGAACACUUGAACACAACGAUAGGUGGACUCAUCUGUAUUUGUUUGACUGGUGCAUCAAACCUCGUUCUCCCGUCUCGUGAGAAAACGAACGCAGUCCUGUCUGUCUUUUAAAGCACUUUCAGUCCUCUUAAAGAGCUUCUACAAAUACCUUAACUUUAACGUUUUGUUUGUGAGCAACUAACUAAUUAACCAGAGUAGUCAGGCAAUUUCACUGAGCUUAUUUGUUUUGUUUUCAGUUGUUUUUGGAUGUUAGUGAGCUUCAUCUAGCCCUGAAGAGAACUAAAAGUGUUUAAAUUAAUCUUAAAUCUGGAUUCACCUGUCUGAUCCUUUCACAUUCAUCCUUUGACAGGUGGGACUAAAUAUUUGGGGAAACCGCUGCAGUCAUGCCAAUCAUAAGGUUUUAUUCUACAUGUUCUCUUUUUCUUUCUGCGUCUGUUUCUGUGUACGGAAAGAUUAUGAUUAUGCAGCAAGCUGGUGACUGCCAGCUUGUGCACAUUCUCUCUCUCUUUUUUUUGCUUUUGUUUUUCUUCUCUUUUGUGGUUUCUGUCAUUCUGAAGUGCAUUUGUCUGAGGAGAAACCUGCUUUGGUAGAGUUGGCCGUGGCCUCCUUCGGCCCUGUCGGUGACCGUCUUUGCUCUGAUGUUGACAGAAACAAACCUCAGGCUUAAUCAGACUGUCUGUCCUCAACAACUCUCCUUUUAUUUAAUUUUUUUAUGGGGGGUCAAGUCAGUCGACUUGCAUUAUCCCCCCCACAAAAAAAUAAAAAUAAAAAGGGGCAAAUCAUGAACUGUAAGAGUGACAGUUUUCUCCUCUUGGCAACUCAUUAAGCUAAAUAAAGAAAAAUACUCAUGUUUAGCGCAAA